AUUGAACGCUGGCGGCAUGCCUUACACAUGCAAGUCGAACGGCAUCGCGGGAAAGCUUGCUUUCCUGGCGGCGAGUGGCGAACGGGUGAGUAACACAUCGGAACGUACCGGCUAGUGGGGGAUAACCCGUCGAAAGACGGGCUAAUACCGCAUACGCUCUUCGGAGGAAAGCAGGGGACCUUUGGGCCUUGCGCUAGCCGAGCGGCCGAUGUCCGAUUAGCUAGUUGGUGGGGUAAAGGCCUACCAAGGCGACGAUCGGUAGCGGGUCUGAGAGGACGAUCCGCCACACUGGGCCUGAGACACGGCCCAGACUCCUACGGGAGGCAGCAGUGGGGAAUCUUGGACAAUGGGGGCAACCCUGAUCCAGCAAUGCCGCGUGGGUGAAGAAGGCCUUCGGGUUGUAAAGCCCUUUCGGCAGGGAAGAAAUCGGCGGGGCGAAUAACCCUGCUGGAUGACGGUACCUGCAGAAGAAGCACCGGCUAACUACGU
rnacentral:rRNA from 1 species